GGGCCUCUGUCACUCUUUAUCUUGACAUUCUAAACCUGUUCCUUUCCAUCUUGAGGAUUCUGAAGGAGGCAAACAAUUAGUCAUCCUAUGUAAAUUGAGGUUGACCAAAAAUAAGUGAAACUACUUUGUUGCAUGGCAUCUUUGUGAUGCUCUAGUAAGCAUUAUGAAGAUAUAUACAAUGCUUCUGUAGUAUUUCUUUACAGUUGACAGACAGCACUUUUGGUGAGAUGGAAAAUUUGUAGGUUUACAAUUGUAUUUAAGUGUGAUAUAAGAAUCUCAUCUGGGAUUUAUUAUUUUAACUUUGAAUUUAAUGCUCUCUCUCUUUCUCUCUAUAGUAUAUAUACACACACUAUAUAAUAAUAAUAUAA
rnacentral:lncRNA from 1 species